GACGAACGCUGGCGGCGUGCCUAAUACAUGCAAGUAGAACGCUGAAGAGAGGAGCUUGCUCUUCUUGGAUGAGUUGCGAACGGGUGAGUAACGCGUAGGUAACCUGCCUUGUAGCGGGGGAUAACUAUUGGAAACGAUAGCUAAUACCGCAUAACAAUGGAUGACACAUGUCAUUUAUUUGAAAGGGGCAAUUGCUCCACUACAAGAUGGACCUGCGUUGUAUUAGCUAGUAGGUGAGGUAAUGGCUCACCUAGGCGACGAUACAUAGCCGACCUGAGAGGGUGCUCGGCCACACUGGGACUGAGACACGGCCCAGACUCCUACGGGAGGCAGCAGUAGGGAAUCUUCGGCAAUGGGGGCAACCCUGACCGAGCAACGCCGCGUGAGUGAAGAAGGUUUUCGGAUCGUAAAGCUCUGUUGUAAGUCAAGAACGGGUGUGAGAGUGGAAAGUUCACACUGUGACGGUAGCUUACCAGAAAGAGACGGCUAACUACGUG
rnacentral:rRNA from 1 species